rnacentral:lncRNA from 1 species
GGCGGCUCUCGGCGGAGCCGGACGCCCCGGUCUAGUUAAGUAAGUGAAGUGGUCGCAGUGUAGGCGGCUUCUUGCUGCUGAAACAAAGACUUAGCGUAGUGAAAAAGAAAUGGUGCUGCUUUUCGGCGGUUUUGUGCUCUCCCUGUUGCGUACUGGAUCCCGGACGUUACACGGGUUAUAGGACUCAACUCUUGUUUACCUAAAGCACUAAAUACACCGGUACAGGGAACAGCCCUCAACUGCUAAGGAAGGAGGAUGUGCUGUGCGUCCAGGUUUACCGAGAGAUACUAGUAGAAGCAGUCAGCGUUCCUUUGCUUUCUAGCCUCCGUGUUGCUCAAGUAGGGGAAAAAAUACAGUAAUUAUAUUUUUCUUUUUUGGUAGGUAAGUGCUACCCUAUCUUAAGUUACAUUUUUGCCAGAGCUGCAGAGGCGCUGUGUAACUCACGUGAUUCCAUAAUCUUUCCAUUUUCUCACACUUAAAAGAGGUUAAAUGAUGACGCAAUAACUCCAGACUUCCGUAAAGAUGUCUGCAUAUGCCAGGUCUUCUCUCUAAUAUUCAGUGUAUCCCAUAACGCCGUGCAGGAUUUGAGCCCGUGGUGGUUCUUUGCUGGUGAACCUAGCUGUCUGGUCCUCUUCUUUUAACGAAGUUAGGAAAAAAAAAAAAACAAAACCAAAACCGAAAUUGCUGGUUAAUGACUGUACAACAGUAUUUUUUUAAAGCCUUCGAAACUAGUCGAGGCGUGAAUGUUUUCAUUAGCACACAUUCUCCCGCAGGCAUUCUUUUAAGUAUGAAGAAAUCUUUUUCAUAUGUUCGUUUACGUAGUUGUCUGUAGCAGAACAAGUUUUGUAACUUGCUUUAAGCCUGCAGGUAGGCUCUUUACGAGCUAAUAGCUUGGUAUUGUCGUGUAAUAACAUCUAAUCGCUUCGGGAUGGAGGAGGCACCUGGUUUGUUGUAGGCCAUUGCUUCCAUCUCUUGGCAGCAUUCCUGACCAGUUCACCCAUUAAGACUGCAGACUUAUGUGUUUGGUACUGGUUGCUGGAAGAUCACACUCAGCCAAUAGGUAAGUUACAGAUCUUUGUUCUAAUCCUUUCAUGCUCAGAAAACAGACUAGAGACUGCAAUUCAGCAGAAAGGAGUGAGUUACUCUAGAGCUGUUAAGGAUCAUGUGACUGACCGGCUUCCUUAUAGAAUCAUAGAACUGUUUAGGUU